rnacentral:misc_RNA from 1 species
AGCAGCCGCGGUAAUUCCAGCUCCAAUAGCGUAUAUUAAAGUUGUUGCAGUUAAAAAGCUCGUAGUUGAAUUUCGGGAUCAAUACGUCGGUCGUGCUUCGGUACGUACUGGCGUAAUUGAUUUCUCCCUUCUGACGAACCAUGAUGUCAUUAACUUGGUGUCAUGGGAAAUCAGGACUGUUACUUUGAAAAAUUAGAGUGUUUAAAGCAGGCUCACGCUUGAAUACAUUAGCAUGGAAUAAUGAAAUAGGACGUUCGAUCCUAUUUUGUUGGUUUUUAGGAUCAACGUAAUGAUUAAUAGGGAUAGUUGGGGGCAUUAGUAUUCAAUUGUCAGAGGUGAAAUUCUUGGAUUUAUUGAAGACUAACUACUGCGAAAGCAUUUGCCAAGGAUGUUUUCAUUAAUCAAGAACGAAAGUUAGGGGAUCGAAGACGAUCAGAUACCGUCGUAGUCUUAACCAUAAACUAUGCCGACUAGGGAUCGGAUGAUGUUAAUUUUUAAUGACUCAUUCGGCGUACCCG